rnacentral:rRNA from 1 species
UUUUAUGGAGAGUUUGAUCCUGGCUCAGGAUGAACGCUGGCGGCGUGCCUAAUACAUGCAAGUCGAGCGAACAGAUAAGGAGCUUGCUCCUUUGACGUUAGCGGCGGACGGGUGAGUAAACCGUGGGUAACCUACAUAUAAGACUGGAAUAACUCCGGGAAACCGGGGCUAAUGCCGGAUAACAUGUUGAACAGAAUGGUUCUACAGUGAAAGAC